CCGUGUGCCGCUGCGGGGCAGGAGGGCUGCUCCUGCGGCCGGUCGCCGCCGAUAGUCGCGAUUUGGGUGUCGUAGGGGGACGGCGGGGCCGGGUCUGUGCGCCAUGGACAGCCGGUGCUACGGGUGUGCGCGCAAGUUCGGCGUCUUCAAGAAGGAGUGCGGCUGUGCGAGCUGCGGCCGGGCCUUCUGCUCCAGCUGCCUCAGCUUCAGCGCCGCCGUGCCCCGCUGUGGAGGUGGCCAGCAGAAGGUGUGCAAGCAGUGCCACGGAAAGCUCACGGGACAGGAACCUCAGAACAGUUCAGCAAAAUGGUCGCCACCAGAAAACUACAAAAAGCGUGUAGCAGCUUUCGAGGCUAAGCAAAUGAAAGGAAAACAGAAGGCAGCUGCCAAAUCCCCAGGUCAAGCUGACUCCAGAUACCAGGGGCUCUCAAAAGAGGAUAGAGCUAUUGCAGAGAGACUGCAGAAGCUCAGAGAGGAAAGGAAACCCAAGUCCAUCCCUUCUCAGGCUGAGAUCGAAGCUAGGUUGGCUGCACUGAAGGAAGAUUACCGGGGACCUGUUCCAUCCAUGCAGGAAAUGGAGGACCGGUUGGCUGUCCUGCAAGGGAGACGUCCUCCUUCCCAGGCUCCCAGACCAGUGCAUCGACCCCCUGAUACCAGAAGUCUGACACAGCAAACAGAUGACCUGUUAACUCAGCUGGCUGAGGAAGUUGCCAUUGAUGAGCAUUACAGUCCAGGAGCCCAGCCUCAAGCUGCUGGUAGCCAAAACUUGAAUGACCUCAAUCGGGAAAGUGAAGAUUAUGCUUGCCAUGCAAGUCUGGACCCAAAACAGCUAGAGGAAGAGAAGAAUAAACUUCUGGCAGAGGCUGCUGCUGAGUUGCGAGAUGAAAACACUAGGCAGGAAAAGAUCUUACAAAUUGCAAAGAGAUUGGCAGUGCUCAGAGGUCAGGACCCAGAGAAAGUUACAUUGGAAUCUUACAAACUUCCUGACAGUGAUGAAGAGUUGGAUGAGGAGGAAGCCAUUCGGAGAGUGCUAAAACAGCUCACAGAGGAAGUGGCCCUGGAUGAAGCAAGUGGAUUCAACAUUCCUCCAGAUCAGACCACCCAGCCAGGACCCUCACAACAGACCCUGUAUAAGAAAACAAAGCAAAAGAGCCAGACUCCAACCAACACAGCUCUUACCAAGACAGAUGACAGUGACGAGGAUGAAUUACCCUGGUGCUGUAUCUGCAACGAAGAUGCUACUUUGCGUUGCCAUGGCUGCGAUGGGGAUCUCUACUGCCAGCGCUGUUUUCGGGAAGGCCACGAUGAGUUUGACCUGAAGGACCACCACACUUCCCGCUAUUAUCUUCCUCGCAAGUAGAGGUGAUCACAUUCUUCAUGGGCAGAAAAGGAGAUAGAGAACGGGAAGAGAGGGAGUCGGCCAGAGGGGAAGACUCCAACUGGAUUUGCAGCCAAAAUGGCCACACAUUAGUUACAGCCAGAAGAGUGUGUGCAGCAAGUCAGUGUCCUACUUCACUUCUCAUUUGGGAGACCUACCUGUCUGCCAAAGACUCGCUCUGCAAUUCUCCCUGCAGGGAAAUUAGAAGCAGUGGGUGGAAGAAGUUCUGAUGAGCUGCUGAGAAUUGUAUUCAGUGCUCCCCAGCCAGCAUGGAAAUUCCUAGAAGAAACUAAAAGAACGAUGUCUUGUCUUGUCCCCAAGGUUAAAAUACCAUUUAAAAAACAGGUGAAUAUGCAACUUAGCUCCCUGCUGUGCACGUACAUGUGGAAGGAGUGGAAACUUCAAACCACUGGUACAAAGUUCACAAACUUGGUGAUGUGUCUCAAUAACAGCUCUACUGCUUCCUGUUGCCACCAUAACCUCCUGCCCACUCCUGCUGCCCUCCCCAUGUAGGGCAAAGCAAGCCGUCCCUCUUGUUGUUUCCUUGUUCAACCUGUAAAGCUCCAUGUUGUGGACUGCAAACCACGCUGAAGCUGUGCCAAUUCUAGAAGGAAGUGGCUGGCAGAGAAGGGGGUGGAACAGAACACAUGUAGGACUAAUGAUAACCUGGAGCAGGAGUUGAGGACUGGAAGACCAGAUAGAUGAGCAGUUAAUGGAGAUAAAUCCCAACUGCUUUGCUGACACAGCCAAGGACUAUGAACCAAACUGGACCAUCUGGUUAUUCCAAGCAGAAGUCAAAGUGACUAGUGCAAACUUUACCAUCUUCACGGCAAGUAACAUCAUUGUAAAGGACUGUGUAGCUUUUCUUCACCCAAAGAGGACAGAUACAUAUCAUUGUAAUUAGGCAAGGUCACCAGAGGUAUUGCAACUUGCUAUAUUUUGUACUCUGUGAAAGCCCAGCUUCCUCACUCUAGUGAUCAGAGUUUGUCUGCCACAGCAUGCUCUGGAGGUAAAUGCCUAGGAUUGAACCUUUGUAUUCAGUCCCUUCAGAAGAAAUGAGUUUGUUUCCUCUGUCUACUUUCUGGGAA